UGAGGUCAAAAAGGUGGAUUUGGGGGUCAAAAAGGUGGAUUUUGAGGUCAAAAAGGUGGAUUUUGAGGUCAAAAGGUGGAUUUUUGGUGGGGUCAAAAGCUGGAUUGCCGCUCCCACCCCACCGCGAGGACCUCCUGAAGGCCUCACCGUUGGUCUUCUGGAGCGUGGCCUCGGUGGGGAAGAGG